AAGCGGUGGAUGAUGUGGUUUAAUUCGGUGCAACGCGAAAACCUUACCCACCUUUGACAUGUACGGAAUCCUUUAGAGAUAGAGGAGUGCUCGAAAGAGAACCGUAACACAGGUGCUGCAUGGCUGUCGUCAGCUCGUGUCGUGAGAUGUUGGGUUAAGUCCCGCAACGAGCGCAACCCUUGUCAUUAGUUGCUACAUUCAGUUGGGCACUCUAAUGAGACUGCCGGUGACCAACCGGAGGAAGGCGGGGAUGACGUCAAGUCCUCAUGGCCCUUAUAGGUGGGGCUACACACGUCAUACAAUGGAUGGUACAAAGGGUCGCCAACCCGCGAGGGGGAGCCAAUCCCAUAAAGCCAUUCGUAGUCCGGAUCGCAGUCUGCAACUCGACUGCGUGAAGUCGGAAUCGCUAGUAAUCGUGGAUCAGAAUGUCACGGUGAAUACGUUCCCGGGUCUU
rnacentral:rRNA from 1 species